UUUGCCCACCAUCCUCUAUCAUCAACUUCUCUCAAAGUUCGAAAUUGCUGGUUUAGAUGAUUGGUAUUUGACCUGGAAAUACAAAAACAUGAGGCACAAUUGGGAACUGAUGAUGUUCUUUUUAUGCAUCCAAAAAGAUAACUAGUUUUCAUUAGUGUAAUUGAUUGCUCAUUCAUUUGACUUAAACCAUGAAUGAUCAACCAAAGAGCAAAAGAAUAGAAAUGAGAUGCAACUACUGCAUUUACAGUGCUAAUUCCUGUGGUACACACAAACCUUGACACUGCUAAUUCACUCACUGAUCAUAUAUUUAGCAACAUCUACACACCACUAAUGCUAGCACACUCACUGAUCAUAUAUUUAGCAACAUCUACACACCACUGUCAAAUGGGCAAUAACUAUACAACCCCACCAAAUUGAGAUUUCUACAGCAUGGAGAUCAUCAGUGUAGUUUCAGUUAAAAAAACUAGAAUCUAUUCUCUCGAUGCUCAAGCAAACGAUAGCUCGAUUGUCCCUGUUGAUAUUUCGAUACAAUAGAUAGGUUUGGAAGUUAGAGUAAGUCUGUACAGAGGAGGCCACCAUCAAUGCCAAUCUCUACAACAUCAGUUGCACAGGUAUGCACAUCCCUUGGAGCACUGCACCAUUAGACAUCUUCCCCAUAGGUACCUCCAGCAAUUAGGUUUCCUGCGUCUAAUCCCACAGCAACAGUUGGUCGUGAAUGUGGUGCUUGUAGUGGCAGUAGCCUCCCUAUGUAUGUCUUCUCUAAAGCGAUAACAACAAUCAUAAAUUAUUAGUAUAUAAGCAGAGUCUGUAAACAACACUAUCGUAAAAUCAGAUCAGUUCCAAUAAAAAUUUUCUUAUCCAGCAAAGUCUACGGUAUUCACUUUGGUGAGUGCAAAAAAGAAGUCAAAUGACACUUUGAAUUCAUGAAAGUGAAUAAGGAAUUGACAAUAUAUUCCAAACUGAUCAGUGAAUGCAGAAAUUAAGCAUAGCAUCUGACAGGAAUCAAUAAAUUUAAGAAACUGAUAGACUAUUUAAUGUAAGUUCAAAGUUUCUGAUACAAUGGAAAAACAUUAACCAAAUUCAAUCCAUUGCUAAGGAUACAAUUGCCACUACUUUACAAAGAAAGCUUUUCAAUCCUUCUCAACAGAAAGAAUCAAACCAACGAUUGUUUGCAGCAUAAAACGUGAUGAAUUUAAGACAAAGCACUUGCAUGAAUUACAAAAACUGGGCAAUUGACCAUUUUCAUUUUGUUAAUGUUCUGCAUCAAAAGCUUAAAUGAAUCAAUAUAUAACACCUCCAAAGCAAGUAAAAUGCAAAGUAUAAAUCAAUAUACAAGUGAAAAGCAUGUUAAAUGAGGAUGGCUAAAUGGGACAAGAUAAAAGUUCAGCUUGCAUUGCUUCGAAAGAAAAUUUUAGAGGACUCAAAACAUCAAGUUAAUGAUUGUGGGCUUAUCUAGCCCUAUAAACCAUUACAAUUAUUCUUCUAUUUUUGAUACGAUGCUAAUCGAGAUAAUUUUGAUGACUGAACUUACUUAGCUUACAUUCAAGAAUUAAUUCAGCAACAAUGCAUAUAGUGAAUUCAUAGUUGACAACCAAUAUCUGAUUUCAUUUCACA
rnacentral:lncRNA from 1 species